AUUGAACGCUGGCGGCAUGCUUUACACAUGCAAGUCGAACGGUAACAGGUUAAGCUGACGAGUGGCGAACGGGUGAGUAAUGCAUCGGAACGUGCUCGAUCGUGGGGGAUAACGCAGCGAAAGCUGCGCUAAUACCGCAUACGAUCUGAGGAUGAAAGCGGGGGACCGUAAGGCCUCGCGCGAUCGGAGCGGCCGAUGUCAGAUUAGGUAGUUGGUGGGGUAAAGGCCCACCAAGCCGACGAUCUGUAGCUGGUCUGAGAGGACGACCAGCCAGACUGGGACUGAGACACGGCCCAGACUCCUACGGGAGGCAGCAGUGGGGAAUUUUGGACAAUGGGGGAAAGCCUGAUCCAGCAAUGCCGCGUGCAGGAAGAAGGCCUUCGGGUUGUAAACCUCUUUCAGAAGGGACGAAGGGUCGGCCGCGAAUAGCGAGCCGGCUUGACGGUACCUUCAGAAGAAGCCCCGGCUAACUACGUGCCAGCAGCCGCCGUAAUAC
rnacentral:rRNA from 1 species